AGGGGCUUAGCUCAGCUGGGAGAGCAUCUGCCUUACAAGCAGAGGGUCGGCGGUUCGAGCCCGUCAGCCCCCACCA
rnacentral:tRNA from 1 species